rnacentral:rRNA from 1 species
CCUACGGGUGACUGCAGUAGGGAAUAUUGCUCAAUGGGGGAAACCCUGACGCAGCAACGCCGCGUGGAGGAUGAAGGUUUUCGGAUUGUAAACUCCUUUUGUUAGAGAAGAUCAUGACGUUAUCUAACGAAUAAGCAACGGCUAACUCCGUGCCAGCAGCCGCGGUCUUACGGAGGGUGCAAGCGUUCCUCGGAAUCACUGGGCGUAAAGAGCGCGUAGGCGGGAUAGCAAGUCAGGUGUGAAAUCCUAUGGCUUAACCAUAGAACUGCAUUUGAAACUGUUAUUCUAGAGUAUGGGAGAGGUAAGUGGAAUUCUUGGUGUAGGAGUAAAAUCCGUAGAUAUCAAGAGGAAAACGCAUGGCGAAGGCGACCAGCUAGAACAUAACUGACGCUGAUGCGCGAAAGCGUGGGGAGCAAACAGGAUUAGAUACCCUAGUAGUC